rnacentral:lncRNA from 1 species
UUAGUUUUGUCAGAGGCCCUUCUACCACAUCCAUAGAUCCAUCCUAGCAGAGGUCACAGAUCACAAAAAGCCUGCAGAAACAGGAAAUCCAACUUCCUGAGUCCACCACAAAACACAGAAACCUGUUUCCUCUACACAUCUCAAAUUGGCAAAGUUCUGUCUUAGCACAUUCAGUAUAGAAGCAGCCAUCCCAAAGGCUUGAAGGAAUUUAUCUUCAAAUUUCACAUGAAUUUUUCUUUGUUGUUUUAAUCUGUUGAGAUGAAGGGCGCAAAAUUAUUUUUCCUGCUUUCAAGUUUAUGGAAUGGGGGCAUUGGGCUUAACAACACUGAGCAUUCUUGGACUACACCUGAGGAUGAAAACUUCCAGAAGAAUGUGGCCUUUUCUUCAGUAAAUAAAAAACAAAAUCUCCGAAUGCAGUCAACUUCUCAGAUCCCAUCUGCUGAGAGAGUUAUAAUACCUGAAGCCAGAACUUCUGAAGAGAAUCCUCUACAAUCCUUGCUGCCUCCCUCUGAGACAAGCAUCCUCCCUGAAGGUACGAGAAACCCAACACUAACACCCACAGGGAAGACAGAAGAAGGGGUGGUGGGGCUUCAAAAUCUUACCCACCCAACUGAGUCCAGCAUCAAGGUCAGCCCUGGAGCAGAGAUGGUCAUUCUUUCUAAUUCCACCCUGAAAUUUCUUCGGAGCUUUGCCAGAAAGUCAAAUGAACAAGACAUCUCUUUAAAUUCAGUUAGAGGCAUGGGAAAUCGAUCGCCAAGAGAAACGUACCUCAGCAGAGGAGACAGACCUCAAAGUCAACGAUCCAGCUAUCAAAAGUCAAGUUUUGAAACAACUAGAGGAAAGUAAGGAACACUUUUUUUAUUUUUUUCUGUGUC